GCACUGCUGAGGAGUCCAAUAAUGAGACGAAACGGCCGUCCAGUGC
rnacentral:hammerhead_ribozyme from 1 species